CAGCAGCACACCAUGGUUUGCAUGUAUUGAAUAUCCAAACCGUUGUGUGCUGUUCUG
rnacentral:pre_miRNA from 1 species